UACAGAGGGUGCAAGCGUUGUUCGGAAUUAUUGGGCGUAAAGAGCGUGUAGGCGGCUAGAUAGGUCCGUUGUGAAAACUCGAGGCUCAACCUCGAGACGCCGGUGGAAACCAUCUAGCUAGAGUCCGGAAGAGGAGAGUGGAAUUCCUGGUGUAGCGGUGAAAUGCGCAGAUAUCAGGAAGAACACCCGUGGCGAAGGCGGCUCUCUAGUACGGUACUGACGCUGAGACGCGAAAGCGUGGGGAGCGAACAGG
rnacentral:rRNA from 1 species